rnacentral:piRNA from 1 species
CACUAAUAUGGGCCUUCUGCAC